rnacentral:rRNA from 1 species
UACGGAGGGUGCAAGCGUUGUUCGGAUUCACUGGGCGUAAAGGGUGCGUAGGUGGUUAGGUAAGUCCGAUGUGAAAUCUCCAGGCUCAACCUGGAAAUGGCAUUGGAUACUAUCUAGCUUGAGGAGUGGAGGGGGGACUGGAAUUCUCGGUGUAGCAGUGAAAUGCGUAGAUAUCGAGAGGAACACCAGUGGCGAAGGCGAGUCCCUGGACACUUCCUGACACUGAGGCACGAAAGCUAGGGGAGCAAACAGG